GCCUCUGUAGCUCAGUUGGUUAGAGCGCUGCACCAAAAUCGCAGGGCCGUAGGUUCAAUUCCUACCAGAGGAC
rnacentral:tRNA from 1 species